rnacentral:rRNA from 1 species
GUCCACAGCUGUAAACGAUGUGCACUAGAUGUGGGGAAGUGUUGACCUUUCCUGUGUCGCAGCUAACGCAUUAAGUGCACCGCCUGGGGAGUACGGCCGCAAGGUUAAAACUCAAAGGAAUUGACGGGGGCCCGCACAAGCGGUGGAGUAUGUGGUUUAAUUCGACGCAACGCGCAGAACCUUACCUAGACUUGACAUCCCGGGGAUUUUCUGGAAACAGAGAAGUGCUUUAGCAAUAAAGAACCCGGUGACAGGUGCUGCAUGGCUGUCGU